rnacentral:rRNA from 1 species
GUCGAACGAAGUAGAAUACUUAGUGGCAGACGGGUGAGUAACAUGUGGGUAUCUUCCCUUUGGCCUGGAAUAACACGAGGAAACUUGUGCUAAUACUGGAUAAGUCUUUACGGAGAAAGCUUUAUGCACCAUUGGAUGAGCCUGCACUUGAUUAGUUUGUUGGUGGGGUAAUGGCCUACCAAGACUGUGAUCAAUAGCUGAUUUGAGAGGAUGAUCAGCCACAUUGGGACUGAGACACGGCCCAAACUCCUACGGGAGGCAGCAGUGGGGAAUCUUGCACAAUGGAGGAAACUCUGAUGCAGCGAUGCCGCGUGAGUGAAGAAGGCCUUUGGGUUGUAAAGCUCUUUCGUCGGGGAAGAAAAUGACUGUACCCGAAUAAGAAGGUCCGGCUAACUUCGUGCCAGCAGCCGCGGUAAUACGAAGGGACCUAGCGUAGUUCGGAAUUACUGGGCUUAAAGAGUUCGUAGGUGGAUGAAAAAGUUGGUGGUGAAAUCCCAGAGCUUAACUCUGGAACUGCCAUCAAAACUUUUCAGCUAGAGUAUGAUAGAGGAAAGCAGAAUUUCUAGUGUAGAGGUGAAAUUCGUAGAUAUUAGAAAGAAUACCAAUUGCGAAGGCAGCUUUCUGGAUCAUUACUGACACUGAGGAACGAAAGCAUGUGUAGCGAAGAGGAUUAGAUACCCUCGUAGUCCAUGCCGUAAACGAUGUGUGUUAGACGUUGGAAAUUUAUUUUCAGUGUCGCAGCGAA